rnacentral:rRNA from 1 species
GACGAACGCUGGCGGCGUGCUUAACACAUGCAAGUCGAACGGAAAGGCCCUGCUUUUGUGGGGUGCUCGAGUGGCGAACGGGUGUGUAACACGUGAGUAACCUGCCCUUGACUUUGGGAUAACUUCAGGAAACUGGGGCUAAUACCGGAUAGGAGCUCCUGCUGCAUGGUGGGGGUUGGAAAGUUUCGGCGGUUGGGGAUGGACUCGCGGCUUAUCAGCUUGUUGGUUGGGUAGUGGCUUACCAAGGCUUUGAUGGGUAGCCGGCCUGAGAGGGUGGCCGGCCACAUUGGGACUGAGAUACGGCCCAGACUCCUACGGGAGGCAGCAGUGGGGAAUAUUGCACAAUGGGCGGAAGCCUGAUGCAGCAACGCCGCGUGCGGGAUGACGGCCUUCGGGUUGGAAACCGCUUUCGCCUGUGACGAAGCGUGAGUGACGGUAAUGGGUAAAGAAGCACCGGCUAACUACGUG